GUGCUAUUUUUGUUUUAAAUUUCAUUGUGGAUAUACUGCUGACAUUCUAGUAGAAAAAUCAAGAGGGAAGGCUGUAUUUUGUGAAGUAAAAUCCAAUGACAGCAAGCGUAGUAAUAUGGGUUCAUGACCGGGUCAUUUUUGAUGUAGUUUUACAGUAAACAAAUGUGACAGGAGAAAUCUUUCUUAGAAGAUACAUGACCCCUACUUUUCUUUACAUUUUUUGAUGGUUUAAAGACUACUCUUUACAAUGAGAAUUAAACAUUUGUUGUACCAGUGCUGGACAGUACACUUUAUUUGUAAACAAAUCUGGGUGAAGUUUGUUAUUCAUUGGACUAGUAUACUCAUCAAUUAGCCUUUCACGUUUGAACAGUGGCCGCAAGGGUGUUGCAUUAGUGGUGCAGCCUUCUGAGUCUUUGAAAGAAAGUGUACCAGAAUUUUCAACAAUUCUACCC
rnacentral:lncRNA from 1 species